rnacentral:rRNA from 1 species
GACGAACGCUGGCGGCGUGCUUAACACAUGCAAGUCGAGCGGUAAGGCCCUUUCGGGGUACGACGAGCGGCGAGCGGGUGGAGUAACAACGUGGGUGGACCUCGCCCUCCAGCUCUGGGAGUAAAGCCUGGGAAACGUAGGGUCGUAAUAACUGGAUAUGACUCCACGGUGCAUGUCGUGGGGUGGAAAGACCUUGUGCGGCUGAGGAUGGCCCGCGGCCUAUCAGCUUGUUGGUGGGGUGGAUGGCCUACCAAGGCGACGACGGGUAGCCGGCCUGAGAGGGCGACCGGCCACACUGGGACUGAGACACGGCCCAGACUCCU